AAACCGCUUAGGGGUUAAGCCCGAUGAACCUGAAUAUCUGAAUUGAGAAAUUCAAUAUUAUUUUAUUGUUUAUUUAUUUUAAAUAAUAAAUGGUAUGCACUUUUCUCAUAGUAAGACAUUGCGAUCCAUUAGUGUAUAUUAUACGGUUUAUCAAACGGCCCGUGUGUUUAGUUUAUUCUAUCUGUGAUAAUUUUUAAUUGUCAUAUGAAUAAUAGCAUUACGGUGACCUGGUAAACAGCUGAUGGAGCUUAAAAAUCAUGCAACCAUGCAUUAUAUGUAUCACGGUUUAUAUAUAUUUUAUAUGUGAAUGCAGUGAUCGCAUGUAUUUGAUUAGCAAUGCGAUAGAUUUGGGAUACCUUCGGGACCCGUCUUGAAACACGGACCAAGAAGUCUAACAUGUGUGCAAGUCAUUGGGUAUAUUGUUGAAACCUAAAGGCGAAAUUAAAAUAACUAUUUUUAUGGGAUUACAAGCAAUUUCUUUUAUUAAAAAUUGUUUCUCCAUCCCGGGGCGUUCUAUACGAACAUGAUUUAAGCAAUUGGAUCCUCUGUUCAAGAGCGUACCUUGAGCAUACAUGCUGUGACCCGAAAGAUGGUGAACUAUACCUGAUCAGGUUGAAGUCAGGGGAAACCCUGAUGGAGGACUGAAGCAGUUCUGACGUGCAAAUCGAUUGUCAGAAUUGGGUAUAGGGGCGAAAGACUAAUCGAACCAUCUAGUAGCUGGUUCCCUCCGAAGUUUCCCUCAGGAUAGCUGGUGCAAUGAGAAAUCUAAUAUAUAAUCUUAUCUGGUAAAGCGAAUGAUUAGAGGCCUUGGGGCCGAAACGACCUCAACCUAUUCUCAAACUUUAAAUGGGUAAGAACCUCAUCUUUCUUGAUCUGAAGAUAUAGGGGUUUAGAUAUAUUGUGCCCAGUGGGCCACUUUUGGUAAGCAGAACUGGCGCUGUGGGAUGAACCAAACGUGAUGUUACGGCGCCUAAAUUAAUGACUCAUAUUGAUACCAUGAAAGGCGUUGGUUGCUUAAAACAGCAGGUCGGUGGACAUGGAAGUUGUAAUCCGCUAAGGAGUGUGUAACAACUCACCUGCCGAAGCAACUAGCCCUUAAAAUGGAUGGCGCUCAAGUCAUAUGCCUAUACAUCACCGCUAGAAUAAAAAAAUUUUUUUAUUUCAUUAUGAAAUUUGAAAAUUUAUCAAAUUCUAGUGAGUAGGAGGGUACAAUGGUGUGCGCAGAAGUGUUUGGCGUAGGCCUGCAUGGAGCCGCCAUUGGCACAGAUCUUGGUGGUAGUAGCAAAUAAUCGAAUGAGAUCUUGGAGGACUGAAGUGGAGAAGGGUUUCGUGUGAACAGUGGUUGAUCACGAGUUAGUCGGUCCUAAGCUCUAUGCGAAAGCUGUUUAAUUUAUGUA
rnacentral:rRNA from 1 species